CUUGCUUGUGAUUAUAUCAAGA
rnacentral:siRNA from 1 species